AGAGUUUGAUCCUGGCUCAGAUUGAACGCUGGCGGCAGGCUUAACACAUGCAAGUCGAGCGGGGAAAGGUAGCUUGCUACCUAACCUAGCGGCGGACGGGUGAGUAAUGCUUAGGAAUCUGCCUAUUAGUGGGGGACAACAUUCCGAAAGGAAUGCUAAUACCGCAUACGUCCUACGGGAGAAAGCAGGGGACCUUCGGGCCUUGCGCUAAUAGAUGAGCCUAAGUCGGAUUAGCUAGUUGGUGGGGUAAAGGCCUACCAAGGCGACGAUCUGUAGCGGGUCUGAGAGGAUGAUCCGCCACACUGGGACUGAGACACGGCCCAGACUCCUACGGGAGGCAGCAGUGGGGAAUAUUGGACAAUGGGGGGAACCCUGAUCCAGCCAUGCCGCGUGUGUGAAGAAGGCCUUUUGGUUGUAAAGCACUUUAAGCGAGGAGGAGGCUACUAGUAUUAAUACUACUGGAUAGUGGACGUUACUCGCAGAAUAAGCACCGGCUAACUCUGUGCCAGCAGCCGCGGUAAUACAGAGGGUGCGAGCGUUAAUCGGAUUUACUGGGCGUAAAGCGUGCGUAGGCGGCUGAUUAAGUCGGAUGUGAAAUCCCUGAGCUUAACUUAGGAAUUGCAUUCGAUACUGGUCAGCUAGAGUAUGGGAGAGGAUGGUAGAAUUCCAGGUGUAGCGGUGAAAUGCGUAGAGAUCUGGAGGAAUACCGAUGGCGAAGGCAGCCAUCUGGCCUAAUACUGACGCUGAGGU
rnacentral:rRNA from 1 species